CGUCUACAAGCCCUGAUGAGUGAGGUGGCUGAGCCAGAGGCGGGACAGACGGCCUGUUUUGCAUUGAGUUGCCUAGUAACAGAAGAUGGACACGAUCUGGUGCUGGGUAGCCCCUCCUUCCCCAGUCUGCUUGAUUUCCUUCUUUACCGCUUACAAACAGAAAACCAGGACAGUUCCUGGUUCGCUGCCAUUCUCUCUCCAGCUCUCCCUCCAUUGGCCAGGAGCUCAGGGAGGAAGUGAACUCAUGUCUUAGGAACCUGUAGCUGUUUUCCAAGCCAUUGCCCAUGACAACUAGACUCCUCCCAUUGGGGGCCUGCACUGUGUCCUAGGAGAAGUGUUUCCUUGAGAAUGGGCUAGAGAUCACAUACAGCCUUCUGGACAGAGACUGUUCUCUAUCUUGGAACCCUAAGUCCUGUGACCUUGUCUGUCUUUAUCCUCAAACAUGGACAUGAACUCUGACUCAGACUGCUCCACUCUACCUCUGAUGGGGGCACCUGCAGUGACCCUGUGCUAUUGGCCAUAGAAUCAGAGGAUGGAGGGACAAGGCCUGGUCCUCCACAGGAGCUGCGUGUGAUUGGAUCCACAGCAUCUCAUGUGCGACGGAGUUGGGUUUCACUGGCGGGGCUAUAGUGUGUGGGCUGUCCCCAGGAACCCUGUACCAACUGAGUGUGCGCAGUGGGGCCUGGGGAAGAGGUUGGCCCCUGUGUGGCGGUGAAGGUCCGUACAGCCGAGGCCACCAACACAACAUACCACCAACAUACCUGUACUGUAACGGCCAUCACUUCCAAAGGGCGCUGUUAGAGCCUGCCCAUCACCAAGAGGACCGACAGGACGAGAAGUCAAACAGGACAAUGACCCUAAGCACACAGCCAAGACAAUGCAGGAAUGGCUUUGGGACAAGUCUCUGAAUGUCCUUGAGUAAAUGAGCCCGGACUUGAACCCGAUCGAACAUCUCUGGAGACUUGAAAAUAGUCGUGCAGCAACGCUUUCCAUCCAACCUGACAGAGUUUGAGAGGAUCCACAGAGAAGAAUGGGAGAAACUCCCCAAAUACAGGUGU